UACAGAGGGUGCGAGCGUUGUCCGGAAUCACUGGGCGUAAAGGGCGCGUAGGUGGCGACCCAAGUCCGUGGUGAAAGCUCGUCGCUUAACGACGAGUCGGCUACGGAGACUGGGUGGCUCGAGCACUGUAGGGGCAGAUGGAAUUCCGGGUGUAGCGGUGGAAUGCGUAGAGAUCCGGAAGAACGACCAGUGGCGGAAGGCGGAGUCUCGCGUGGGCAGUUGCUGACACUGGAGGCGCGACAGCGUGGGAGCAAACAGG
rnacentral:rRNA from 1 species